GAUGAACGCUGGCGGCGUGCCUAAUACAUGCAAGUCGAGCGAACAGAUGAGGAGCUUGCUCCUCUGACGUUAGCGGCGGACGGGUGAGUAACACGUGGAUAACCUACCUAUAAGACUGGGAUAACUUCGGGAAACCGGAGCUAAUACCGGAUAAUAUAUUGAACCGCAUGGUUCAAUAGUGAAAGACGGUUUUGCUGUCACUUAUAGAUGGAUCCGCGCCGCAUUAGCUAGUUGGUAAGGUAACGGCUUACCAAGGCAACGAUGCGUAGCCGACCUGAGAGGGUGAUCGGCCACACUGGAACUGAGACACGGUCCAGACUCCUACGGGAGGCAGCAGUAGGGAAUCUUCCGCAAUGGGCGAAAGCCUGACGGAACAACGCCGCGUGAGUGAUGAAGGUCUUCGGAUCGUAAAACUCUGUUAUUAGGGAAGAACAAAUGUGUAAGUAACUAUGCACGUCUUGACGGUGCCUAAUCAGAAAGCCACGGCUAACUACGUG
rnacentral:rRNA from 1 species